rnacentral:rRNA from 1 species
AGAGUUUGAUCAUGGCUCAGAGCGAACGCUGGCGGCAGGCCUAACACAUGCAAGUCGAACGAACUCUUCGGAGUUAGUGGCGGACGGGUGAGUAACACGUGGGAACGUGCCUUUAGGUUCGGAAUAACUCAGGGAAACUUGUGCUAAUACCGAAUGUGCCCUUCGGGGGAAAGAUUUAUCGCCUUUAGAGCGGCCCGCGUCUGAUUAGCUAGUUGGUGAGGUAAAGGCUCACCAAGGCGACGAUCAGUAGCUGGUCUGAGAGGAUGAUCAGCCACAUUGGGACUGAGACACGGCCCAAACUCCUACGGGAGGCAGCAGUGGGGAAUCUUGCGCAAUGGGCGAAAGCCUGACGCAGCCAUGCCGCGUGAAUGAUGAAGGUCUUAGGAUUGUAAAAUUCUUUCAGUAGGGACGAUAAUGACGGUACCUACAGAAGAAGCCCCGGCUAACUUCGUGCCAGCAGCCGCGGUAAUACGAAGGGGGCUAGCGUUGCUCGGAAUUACUGGGCGUAAAGGGAGCGUAGGCGGACAUUUAAGUCAGGGGUGAAAUCCCGGGGCUCAACCUCGGAAUUGCCUUUGAUACUGGGUGUCUUGAGUGUGAGAGAGGUAUGUGGAACUCCGAGUGUAGAGGUGAAAUUCGUAGAUAUUCGGAAGAACACCAGUGGCGAAGGCGACAUACUGGCUCAUUACUGACGCUGAGGCUCGAAAGCGUGGGGAGCAAACAGGAUUAGAUACCCUGGUAGUCCACGCCGUAAACGAUGAUUGCUAGUUGUCGGGAUGCAUGCAUUUCGGUGACGCAGCUAACGCAUUAAGCAAUCCGCCUGGGGAGUACGGUCGCAAGAUUAAAACUCAAAGGAUUUGACGGGGCCCGCACAAGCGGUGGAGCAUGUGGUUUAAUUCGAAGCAACGCGCAGAACCUUACCACCUUUUGACAUGCCUGGACGCCNGAGAGAUCUGGCUUUCCCUNCGGNCUNNACACNGNGCUGCAUGNUGUCGUCAGCUCNGUCNNGAGAUGUGGUUAAGUCCCGCACGANNGNNNCNNGC